UACGGAGGGUGCAAGCGUUAUCCGGAUUCACUGGGUUUAAAGGGUGCGUAGGCGGGCAGGUAAGUCAGUGGUGAAAUCUCUGGGCUUAACCCAGAAACUGCCAUUGAUACUAUCUGUCUUGAAUACCGUGGAGGUGAGCGGAAUAUGUCAUGUAGCGGUGAAAUGCUUAGAUAUGACAUAGAACACCAAUUGCGAAGGCAGCUCACUACACGAAUAUUGACACUGAGGCACGAAAGCGUGGGGAGCAAACAGG
rnacentral:rRNA from 1 species